rnacentral:lncRNA from 1 species
AAUUGGUUGCCUCCCAUUGAACGUGUAUGUUACCUCUGAAACGAAGAAUUCCUGUACCUAAACCAAGAUUGUCCCAAAAGAUAUGCUCUAGAACCUCCAUCAAUAAUAAUAUUGAUGUGGGCAAACUGGCGGCGCGUAUCGAAGAUGAAGUGGCGCAUAAGAAAGACUCACUUAGAAUAGUGCAGAUUUGACAUCCGAUGUCGGAUUGACCUGAAUUAUACAUUUUCGGAAAGCCCCUAUGAGACGAAUGCUCGUAUAAGUUGAAAUACUUGCUGAUUGUUGUUGAUCA